AACGAACGCUGGCGGCGCGUCUUAAGCAUGCAAGUCGAGCGGCAAGUCGUAGCAAUACGGCCUAGAGCGGCGGACUGGUGAGUAACGCGUGGGUGACCUACCCUAAGGUUGGGGAUAGCCAUUAGAAAUAGUGGGUAAUACCGAAUAUGGUCGGAGUGCUCUGGCACUCCGAAGAAAGGGGCUUCGGCCCCGCCUUGGGAUGGGCCCGCGUCCCAUUAGCUUGUUGGUGAGGUAAGAGCCCACCAAGGCGAUGAUGGGUAGCCGGCCUGAGAGGGUGAACGGCCACACUGGGACUGAGAUACGGCCCAGACUCCUACGGGAGGCAGCAGCUAAGAAUAUUCCGCAAUGGACGAAAGUCUGACGGAGCGACGCCGCGUGGAUGACGAAGGCCGAAAGGUUGUAAAAUCCUUUUGUUACUGAAGAAUAAGCGGGGGAGGGAAUGCCCUCGUGAUGACGUUAGGUAACGAAUAAGCCCCG
rnacentral:rRNA from 1 species